rnacentral:lncRNA from 1 species
GAUGAGCUGUGUCUCUCCUUCAAAUUCGACCCGUUCAUAGGAACUUGGCAAAUGAAGCACGUGCCAAUGCUGUGGGCCUUCUGUUCAAUGACUUUUCACAGAAGAUUAGAAUGUUGAACAAUAUUGUAACGAAAAUGCUAUUUCCCCCAAGUCGCGGCCCGAGUCAAAUCCCAGAAUCAAAACACACCGUUUUGAUUAAGCUAAAACCGCACCGUUUGAUGUCGAAGCUAUUUUCCCUUUUAAUUACAGCCACCAUCGAUCUAGUCAACUCCAACCACAAUCCAGAGCCACCAUCGAUCCACUCAACUCCAGCCACAAUUCACAGCCACCAUCACCCAUAAUUCACAUCCCCCAUCGCCCACAAAUGCUCACAUUACCCAUUAUAUCAACGGUGCGUUUUGAUUAAGCCAAAAAACACACUUAUUUUUUAUUUCAUUGCCACCAUCGAUCCAGUCAACUCCAGCCGCAAUUCAUAGCCACCAUCGCCCACAAAUGCUCGCAUUACCCAUUAUAUUAUUAUUAAGUUAACAACAACGGCAAUAUCAUUUCACAGAAUAAGACAACAAAAUUCAACUAAAAUUCAAGCUUUGCAAAUAUUCUGUUGCCAAAGGAAUCGAAAAGACAAUACCAUACCUUAUGGCAAAGCUCACGUAAAGCUUUUUCAUAUUUAUCUAAGCUAAAUCCAGUUGCCCAAAACGAAGAUAAUAAUUAAGGUGGGUUCUGUUCUUGGGGUUCCGUAGUUGAAAC